CUGCGGAAGGAUCAUUACCGAGUGAGGGCCCUCUGGGUCCAACCUCCCACCCGUGUUUAUUUUACCUUGUUGCUUCGGCGGGCCCGCCUUAACUGGCCGCCGGGGGGCUUACGCCCCCGGGCCCGCGCCCGCCGAAGACACCCUCGAACUCUGUCUGAAGAUUGUAGUCUGAGUGAAAAUAUAAAUUAUUUAAAACUUUCAACAACGGAUCUCCUGGUUCCGGCAUCGAUGAAGAACGCAGCGAAAUGCGAUACGUAAUGUGAAUUGCAAAUUCAGUGAAUCAUCGAGUCUUUGAACGCACAUUGCGCCCCCUGGUAUUCCGGGGGGCAUGCCUGUCCGAGCGUCAUUUCUGCCCUCAAGCACGGCUUGUGUGUUGGGCCCCGUCCUCCGAUCCCGGGGGACGGGCCCGAAAGGCAGCGGCGGCACCGCGUCCGGUCCUCGAGCGUAUGGGGCUUUGUCACCCGCUCUGUAGGCCCGGCCGGCGCUUGCCGAUCAACCCAAAUUUUUAUCCAGGUUGACCUCGGAUCAGGUAGGGAUACCCGCUGAACUUAAGCAUAUCAAUAAG
rnacentral:rRNA from 1 species